AUGGCAUUGAGCAUUUAUGAAAGAAUGUUGCUCAUCAUUACUUGCUGAAUGUGUGACAGAGCUGGAGGGAGGAAGAACAAUUGAGAUCUGAUUCUUACCCCUAGGCCUGUUCCUCUGAGCCUGCCCCUCCCAGGGUGCUGCUGAUCAGAAGUUGGAUUUGGGGCUGUUUUUCAAAAGUGUGCUGUCACCCUAACUAACCAUUACAGGGAGAAAGCGAUUCCAAAUUGCUUCUGCUGAUGGAAAUGAUAGGACAGAAGAAAGAGUGAAAUUAGUGGGUACAACUAUUGACUCACCACACUUUCCUUUGUACGUUCAAGAAAAGUGUUCAUUUUCUUAAAGUUGUCUGAUAUACAUCUAAGCUAUUUGGGACAAACAAAAUAUUGCACAACCUCGUAAGUUAAAGCAAUGUCAAUAAUCGCAGCAUUUGAGUGUGGGAGCCUCAUGGUUUCGUCUGGGAUGGAGUUAUUCAUAUGAAGCAUGGCUUGGAUUUUUGAUAAGAGGCUGCAGAGCUGGGAGGGGAUGCAGCUUAGAGAGCUAACCCAGAAUGGCCAAAGGAAAGUUCCAUGUAGUGUGGUGUCAUGCUUAGCAAUAUAAGUUGGAGGAAGAGAAGAUGUUCAGAGUGAUGGUGUUUGUCUUCCAAGAAAAUGGCAUAUGCGAUGAGCUCUGCUUUCCUGGGAGUGGCUGAACAUCUGCCUGCCUAUGAGACACAGCAAAUGAAUUCCUUUUCUUCUGUUUUCACAUGAGACUCUUACUUUACCUGGCAAACUGUCUAUCUCAGCCCACAAGUUCUCACACUUUUACCUUCCCAGUUCUCUGUCCCAUCCCACCUGGGGAGGGAUUGAGCAGCUGCAAGGUGCUGAAUUGCCUGCCUGCACAGAGUGAAAGCUACUACUACUACAAUAAAAAAAAAAAAAAAA
ensembl:lncRNA